GACUCUCGGCAACAUAUCUCGCUCUCGCAUCGAUGAAGAACGUAGCGAAAUGCGAUACUUGUGUGAAUUGCAGAAUCCGUGAACCAUCGAGUCUUUGAACGCAAGUUGCGCCCGAAGCCGUUAGGCCGGGCACGUCUGCCUGGCGUCA
rnacentral:rRNA from 1 species